AACCUUUGACAUGUCCCGUAUGAGCUACAUCUCUGUUGCUCAUACGGGACAUGUCAAAGGUUGGUAAGGUUCUGCGCGUUGCUUCGAAUUGAACCACAUGCUCCACCGCUUGUGCGGGCCCCCGUCAAUUCCUUUGAGUUUUAAUCUUGCGACCGUACUCCCCAGGCGGGAUGCUUAAUGCGUUAGCUGCGCCACUGACAGGCAAGCCUGCCAACGGCUAGCAUCCAUCGUUUACGGCGUGGACUAC
rnacentral:misc_RNA from 1 species